AAGAAAGUAAUAAAGGGCGUAUGGGGGAUGCCUAGGCUCUUGGAGGCGACGAAAGACGUGGUAAGCUGCGAUAAGCCUCGGGGAUUUGCAAACGAGAAUUGAUCCGAGGAUUUCUGAAUGGGACAACCCGCUAGGCAGAAGGCCUAGCACACGAAAGUGGGCCAACCCUCUGAACUGAAACAUCUUAGUAGGAGGAGGAAAAGAAAGAAACAUCGAUUUCCUAAGUAGCGGCGAGCGAACGGGAAGAAGCCUAAACCAUACUUGUUACGGCAAUUAUGGGGUUGUAGGACUGCAAUAUUCAAGUGACUGUCAACUGGAAUGUUCUGGAAAGUUCAUCCGCAGAGAGUGAAAGACUCGUACAGGUAAGCACGUUAUGCGAUAGCAGUAUCCUGAGUAGGGCGGGACACGAGGAAUCCUGUCUGAAUCUGCCGGGACCACCCGGUAAGGCUAAAUACUCCCAAGAGACCGAUAGUGAACCAGUACCGUGAGGGAAAGGUGAAAAGAACCCCGAACAGGGGAGUGAAAUAGAACCUGAAACCAUACGCUUACAACCUGUCGGAGCAGCUUCGUGCUGUGACGGCGUGCCUAUUGAAUAAUGAGCCUACGAGUUACUAAUCACUGGCGAGGUUAAGUGCACGGAUGCACGGAGCCGAAGCGAAAGCGAGUCUUAAUAGGGCGUUUAGUCAGUGGUUGUAGACGCGAAACCUUGCGAUCUACCCUUGAGCAGGUUGAAGGUUGGGUAAAACCAACUGGAGGACCGAACGAAUAAGCGUUGAAAAGCUUCUCGAUGACUUGAGGGUAGGGGUGAAAGGCUAAUCAAGCUGGGAAAUAGCUCGUACUCCCCGAAAUGCCUUUAGGGGCAGCGUUGUAAUAAAGAGUCUACUGGAGGUAGAGCUACUGAUUGGAUGCGGGGGCUUCACCGCCUACCAAAUCCUGACAAACUCCGAAUGCCAGUAGUAUGAUUUACAGCAGUGAGCGACCGGGUGCUAAUGUCCGGUCACAAAAGAGGAACAACUCAGACCAGCAACUAAGGUCCCCAAGAGUAUACUAAGUUGAUCUAACGAUGUUUUGUUGCAGAGACAGCUAGGAUGUUAGCUUGGAAGCAGCUAUUCAUUCAAAGAGUGCGUAACAGCUCACUAGUCGAGCGACAAAGCGUGGAUAAUAAACGGGCAUCAAGUAUACCACCGAAGUUCUGGGCACGAAAGUGCGGUAGGGGAGCAUUCCAUUCAGCGUCGAAGCCGAAUCGUGAGAUUUGGUGGAGCGUAUGGAAAAGCAAAUGUAGGCAUGAGUAACGAUAAUGCGGGAGAGUAACCCGCACACCGCAAGACCAAGGUUUCCUGAUCAACGCUAAUCGGAUCAGGGUUAGUCGGGUCCUAAGGGUAAGCCGAACGGUGAUCUCGAUGGAUAAUCGGUUAAUAUUCCGAUACUGACAUAUACCUCGAUGGAGAGACGAAGGAACGUAAGUGCCGCCGCCUGACGGAAUAGGUGGUUAAAGGGCGUAGGUAUAGGGACAGAUUAAGAGUUAGUCCUUGCUGAACCCCGACAGUACAGAGAGCCUACGGGCAAUUUGAUAGUGCACCCAAGUCGACUUCCGAGAAAAUCUUCUAAGUUAUAGUAUAUGUCACCCGUACCGUAAACCGACACAGGUGGUCGAGGAGAGUAUCCUAAGGUGCUCGAGUGAAUCACGGUUAAGGAACUAGGCAAAUUAACCCCGUAACUUCGGGAAAAGGGGUCCCACCGCGAGGUGGGCGCAGCGAAGAGGUCCAGGCGACUGUUUAUCAAAAACACAGGGCUCUGCAAAUUCGAAAGAAGACGUAUAGGGCCUGACACCUGCCCGGUGCUGGAAGGUUAAGAGGGGAUGUCAUCGCAAGAGAAGCAUUGAAUCGAAGCCCCAGUAAACGGCGGCCGUAACUAUAACGGUCCUAAGGUAGCGAAAUUCCUUGUCGGGUAAGUUCCGACCUGCACGAAUGGUGUAACGAUCUGGACACUGUCUCAACCGUGAGCUCGGUGAAAUUGUAGUCCCGGUGAUGAUGCCGGGUACCCGCAACGGGACGAAAAGACCCCGUG
rnacentral:rRNA from 1 species